UUACUGCCUUUCGCUCUCUUGUUUCUCUCUCUCUAUUUUGGAGACUUUAUUCUUCUUUCUUCUUGGUUUUUGGAAUCUGGAGAUUAUUAUUCCUUUGUAUGAUUCUUGUAAAUCUCGUGUGUUUCAGUAACCAGUAGACAGGAUGUGUAGUCAAUCUAUUGUAUUUGUGUAGUUGUGGUCGGUUUUGUUAGGAAGCAGAUUGUAGUGUCUAGAUUUGAGAUCCGUUUGGAUCGAUGAUUGAUCUGGUUGUUCUCUUUAGUUCUAUGUACUGUACUCUCUCUGGGAGGUAGAAUUGCACUAGUGGAUUGGGCUGACUCUGAGCCCCCUAGAUUAAGCCAUUCGAGCCGAACUGGGUGAACAUUUUCUGUGUACCUUUAUUUUCUUGUACUUUGUGUUUGUGUUGCUUGUGUUGUUCUUGAUUUUGGGUUAAAAUACCCUACAAAUCUGGUAUCAGAGCUAUUAAAGGCUUGAGGUAAGACAUAUUUGAAUUUAGUUUAAUUUCUAGUCGUUUUAACGUGUUUACUUCACUUGUGCAGUAACAAGAAAGUGAAAUAAAUCGAUUCUUGGAAGCUAGGGUUUGGAUUUACAUUUGCAGAAAUCGGAUCUGCAUUUGUUAAAUACUGUAAUACACAAUAUUUGGUACCUUGGGCAAUGAUGUUGGUUAGUCUUUCCACAAAUGUACAAUUCAGCAACUGAGAGAGCUAGUGCAAUUUUGAGAACCAAGGUGAAGAUUGAAGGAGAAAACUUGUUUCUCCAAAUUGCAACUUAAGAGAGGGUGAUUUGGACAUUUUUGGCACUUAAAGUUAGUGGAUGUUACGUGGCGGCUUCUGAUUCGUCCCUUUCAUGUUACUUGGAUCUCUGUUUCUUUUGGCGUUGUGUAGACCGUUCGAUUACUUGAAUGGUGGAGAUCAACCAAGAUUAUUAUCUCUUGGCUUCUAGUGAAUUCAGUUGGUAGAAAGAGACUUCUCAGUUACUGCCUUUCGCUCUCUCGUUUUUCUCUCUCUAUUUUGGAGACUUUCUUUUUCUUCUUUCUUGAUUUUUCGAAUCUAGAGAUUAUUACUCCUUUGUAUGAUUCUUGUAAAUCUCAUGUGCUAUGGUAACCAGUAGGCAGGUUGCGUAAUUGAUCUGUUGUAUUUGUGUAAUUGUGACCGAUUUGUGAGGAAGCAGGUUGUAGUGUCCAGAUUUGAGAUUCUUUUGGAUCGAUGAUUGAUGUGGUUGUUCUCUUUGGUUCUAUGUACUAUACUCUCUCUGAGAGUUAGAAUUGCACUAGUGGAUUGGGUUGACUCUAAGCUUCCCAGAUUAAGCUA